CUGUGAAUGAGCCUCAUCUCUCUGUCCGCUGGUUCCGCAAUGUUGUCUGUGUAGCAGCGCCAAAAUUUUAGCCACAGAGGCCAACAUCUCCGCAAUAUGCCCGCUCUCAACAGUCCAUUCGCGGCACAGCAACUAAACCCAAGCGCUGGACUCGUCAAGCUAGCUGUUUAGCACGCGUGUGUUACUGGACAUUCCGAUGACACCGACAAUGGCACGGCCGGCGGAACUUCUCCGCAUACCGUUUCGGAUAUUAGCAGUGGUGACCGUGCUGCUUCCCUUCAGUUCGUUCGUCUUCUGUGUCCUGUGGUCGCUGCUUUACAACUUUUCUUCAGUCACGUCGACGCACUGUGGGGUGGCAAACUAUCUUCCAUCUGUCAGUGCAGCGAUAGGGGGCCACACACCACAGCGCUACAUUUGGCGCUUUGGGAUCGCCCUACAUUCUGCUCCUAGGAUUCUCAUCAGUGCUAUGUACCAUCGCUACUACCAGAACAUGCUUGACACCCAACAUCAGUAUGUUGCCCGAAUUGCCUUCUGGAUAAACGUUGCCGAGAUCCUCACACUGUUGGGCCUCUCCAAUGUCACAUCUACUGAAAAUUAUGCUAUCCAUGAAAAGAUGUUUGUAACAUUCAUAUUGUGCUCCCUUAUGUACAUGAUACUGUGCUGUGUUAUACCAAGUCUUGGUCGAAGACGUUCACUCUCAGGACUGGAAGCAUACUCCUUGAAGGUGAAGAAGCAACUGACUGCAAUGUCUGUCAUCCUUUCUCUUCUGUGUACCUUCUUUUUCAUUCGACAUACCACACACUGCGAACCAGGAAUGUACACCCUCUUUUCAGCAAGUGAAUACAUUGUGGUGAUAUGCAACAUGGGAUUCCAUAUGACUUCCUACUGGGACUUUGCAGACAAGGCGCUUUAUGUUUCAAACCUUCAGUGUGAAAGCACAGAGGACAAGGUCAGCUGAGUCACUGCGACAUAGUGUGCCGAUAUCUCUCUGAAAGAUGCCCUCGAUCCCAAUUAAGAGCGAGCUUGGCUCCGCUUGGAGUUCAGCGUGGUGCAAACACGUCAUCGACAUUUCCACAUUGUGAGCAUGUGCAUGUGUCUCAUGCAAGCAGCUUUACAUAAUCAUCUCAUACUAUGGAAGUCCAUAUGAGUUUGCUCCAUCAUUCCUGGUACUCUGAGCUGCUGCUAAUUGGCUGCAAAUACCGAAUGAUGCUGAAUUGACACCACACUUGUUGGGCUAACUCCUGUCAUUCUGGGUGGGACCAAAUGUUCAUCGUAUAACAGCUAAAAAUGGAAGGGGGGGUUGGCGUAUAUUGUGGACCUCAUCAAGAUGUGUGUAUUUCUUUUGAACAAUCUGAGGUUGCAACUAAGGCUGUCUUGAAAUGUUUGAUCUAUCAGGCUAUGCCUUUGUUUAGCUGUGGUAUGACUUGACUGUUCCCUAAAAUCACUCUGUGAAAUGGGCUAAAAACUAAACCUGGCUUGUUUACACAUUUGGUGCAGCCAAAGCAUGUGUGUGGCAGCAGCCAUUGUAUCUUCAUUGUUCAAAGUAACUGGAAUUUGGCAUUGAAAGAUAGGCUUUUCCUGCUUAAUUGCCCAUUGGGACUAUAAAACAGAAUUGAAUUAAGCAAUAAGAUGUGUAAAUGUCAGCUUAGUGAAAUCUGAUAAAUGUGUAUGCCCUCUGCUGUCAUAGCUUGGCAAACCUAUAACACAAUCUCCAUUUUGAUCUUGAUAUGGGAGGCAUGAAUCUGCAUGACAGUUUUACUUUGUAAAAGGCACAACUAGUGCUAUAGUGAUUUCUCUUUGCUUGCAAAAUAUUGCAGGAGGUAGCUGUUCUGUGGAAAAGUCUUCAUCAGUGUUGUUUUAACGUAAGAAAAAUGUCCUUGUUUUUGAUGCAGCCUUUUCAUGUAAUAUUGUGUUUUUUAAUGGUUAUAUGCUUUGUACAUUAUUAGCAUUCUUGCAUGGGGGACAAUGUAUUUUGAUAUAUAUAACUACAAUUUCUUUUAAAUUCUCUACUGCUUUUAGAGAGUCUCUCCGGAAUCUAAAGUGUGAUCUUAUUUUACUGGUGUAGGGAUCUCAUUUAUGUUGUGGCUUCUGUAGAAUCACAGGAUUUGCUAUUGUACUUUCAUUUCUGAAGUUCAGGUUAUCAUUGCACUUUCAUUAGUGUUAGAGUGAAUAAUGCUAAGCUUGCUAGAAAGCCAACUAUUUGCUGAAGAAGGCUACAGAAAUGCUGGCAGGCAUUUUCACCUAGCCAAAUGUUAUGAAGCUUUGCUGUCUGUCUACUUGAUGAAUAAAAAGCAAUGCUUGCCUUAAAUUUAUCCAUUAUUUUUUAUGUAUAUUUUGCAUGCCAAGUUUACAAACCAGGCUUUUUAUGUAACUUAUUGCCCUCACAUACAGAGCACUGUUUAGCUCUCACAUUGUGUAUUCCUCAUAAAUAUCACAUUUAGCUUCAUACUGAUGUUAUGCCGCAUGGCAAACUAAGUGGGAAAAAAGUUAUCACUUGAGCUACCAGUGUUAGGCUAGCAUCAGAUUCAAGUCUGAUGUUUUCUUUUCAUGCUGGACUUCUCAGUUCAAAAGUCUGGAAGGCUGGGCACUUAUUUUACUUGGUGCUGCAGCAUUUUUGCUUGCUCUGCCUCGUCAAGCUUGUUGUACGUGAUAGUGUUUGCACUUUAUUACUUUUGUUUUAGUUGCGUGGUGGUUGGACUUGGCAAUCUUCUAUGCAAGCUCUACAUUAUUCUAAAUAAUUAUUGUUUUUCCAGUGGUGUUUAUUGCUUGGCAUAAGCCUUCUCUAGAAAUUGCAUCUCUUGCACAUUGUGUUGGAAGCCUUGUUUGCCGUGUUGCCAGGUGCUUCUUUGUUGGUAUCCUAACACUGGGCUUGGAGCUGUGAGACAAGGUGAUACAGUGAACGACUGCUGCCAUUGAAUCAAGAUGUUUGAUUGGUUGUGCCACAGAGAAAAAGAUCCUUGAACAGGAACAUCAGCAUUCCCCUAGCCUCGAUGUGCUGCGUGUCACUGGACAUCUGCACAUUUCCAGGAAACCAAAAAAUUGCCACUGAAACGUCCGGCGCUUUCUUUUCAGAUCUAAUUGUGUACUCGAAGACUCUACGACCAGAGGCUCUGACUUUGCAUACGUAAAUAAAACCCUUUAGGAUUGUCCUUUCCACUACGCCGAAGGCAAACCAGUUUUAAGCUAGGACUUCGUAUUUUACGAAACUGAGUAUAUACUGUGAUAUUUGAUAGUGCAGGAGCUGGGUUCCUGUACCCGUUUGUAAUUUCUGCUUUUGUAAAUGACCAAUCUGUUAUGGAAUCUUGCGCAAUAAAGCUAGUUUGUUUGCAA
rnacentral:misc_RNA from 1 species